AACUUUUAGCAAUGGAUCUCUGACUGCCUCGAGUGCGUCGGCGACGACUACCGCGCGACGAACGUACUCGGCCCGAAUGGCGGCAAUGAGCGGGCGCUUCGCGAUAUCGCGACGCUCACGAAUGCGCUUGCUGACGAUGUCGAUAGCAUGGCCGAGAUCGCCAACGAGUUUGCUAAGCUCCGCGGCGCGUUGGCGCCUACCCGUGACCGAGUCCGCCGAUUCCUCUCCCAGCAGCGCAGCAACGCCAGGCGAGAGGGUCGGGCCGAUCGAGUCAGCGAGUUCCUCGCGCAGGCUCGCAAGUUCGCGAUCGGCUGCACCCUUUUGGGUGUUGAGGUCGAGGAGUUGCUGUUCAAGCUUUCCGAAUUCCGGGUCGACGUCGGCGAGGUCUGGCAUCACGAAGGGUUCUGAUUUCUUAAGCAUAUCAAUAAGCGGAGGCU
rnacentral:misc_RNA from 1 species